rnacentral:lncRNA from 1 species
UUUUUUUUUUUUUUUUUUUUUCCAAUUAGACUGCAACCUCCAUUAAGCUAUGUAAUUCUCUUUGUGGAGUGGGCCUUCCGAGCCUUGGGCUUGUGGACCAGAUCUUGACCAUCAGCACUGGGAGUUGUGUAAGGGAGCUCCACAGGGCCCAAGGGCGGGACAGUCUCAGUAUUGGGAGAUGAUAACCAUGUUAGUGGAGGGGAGCCCCGAGGAGGUGACGCUAAAUGGAAAUUCCUAUGUGCUGUGAUGUGCAGUCCUUUUGUGAGCCAGGCUUCCUCUGCUAAUGGCCUGGAGAAUGGAGGGUUGGGACGGGUCAUGGGAUGUGCGGGCACUUGUGCCGUAGCUGGUCACUAAUUUUUUUUAAUUAAAAAAAAACUAAAGUAUGAUUGAUUUACAAUGUUGUGCCACUUUCUGCUGUGCAGCAAAGUCACCCAUUCAUACCUAUAUAUACAUUCCCUUUCUUACAUUAUCUUCCAUCAUGUUCUAUCCCAAGAGACUGGAUAUAGUUCCCUGCACUGUACAGUAGGACCUCAUUGCUUAUUCAUUCUUUUGUUUUGUUUUGUUUUGUUUUAGGGCCACACCGUGGCAUAUGGAGGGUCCCAGGCUAGGGGUUGAAUUGGAGCUGCAGCUGCCGACCUACACCACAGCCACAGCAAUACAGGAUCCAAGCUGCAUCUGUGACCACACCUCAUGGACCACACCUCACAGCAACACCGGAUCCUUAACCCACUGAACGAGGCCAGGGACCAAACCUGCAUCCUCAUGGAUACUAGUCAGAUGCAUUUCUGCUGAGCCGUGAUGGAAAUUCCCUACUUAUCCGUUCUAAAUGUAAUAGGUUUCAUUUACCAACCCCAGGUCACUCUUAAAGAUGGAUAAGUAAGUGGAAAUGGGACUAGUGUUGCUGUUUCACAUCUUUAAAAGUAAUCUGUGAACACCAGCUCUUUCAGACCAGCAUAGCUCGUAUUAAAUUGUUGCCAGAAAACGAAGAAUAAUGGGCAACAUUUAUUUAUUCAUUCAGAAAUAGAUUUAAGAGCCAAGAAUCCAGUGCUGCGUGAAACCAGACGCACCAUCCUUAGAGUCUCCACAUUAAUGCACCCGCUGAUUCCUGUGCAUAAUCACUCACGUGAGAUGUGAGUGUUUUCCUGAAGGUAAUACAUUGUUCAAUUUUUUUGUCCUUGUUUUUAAUUCCAUUAUUUUUGUAGAACCAUUAGCGACAGGGUCCAGUGCUGGAAUCACACAUAAAAACCUUUCUUUUGAAGAUAAAUCAACCCUAGUGGGUUUUUUGGCUGCACCCAAAGUUCCCAGGCCAGGGCUUGAAUCUGAGCCACAGCAGUGACAACAUGGAUCCUUAACCCACUGAGCCACCAGGGAACUCCAGGCAUUGUUUUCAUUUAUUUUCCAACUCCACCCUUCAGAGGAUCAUGGGAAUGUCUCUUGGGUUUCCCUUUCACUCCGUCUCAUAGACAGAGCUUUCAUCUCUAGGGACUUAGCUUUUCCUUUUGUCUGCAGGGGGAUCCUGUCCCUUUGGGGCAACUCUUUUUUCUCCAGCCACCUCUUUGACUUGGGUCUCCUGAGCCACAGCCAGAGGAAUCAGCUCUUGUUCCCAGUAUAGCAGGGUUUCUGUCUUUUUAUGUCUGCACAUAUCAUGGGGAUGUUUCUGUGAAUGGAUGAUAAUCCCAGACUUGAAGUUCAUGCCCCUUCACAUGUUGGCCUUGAAUUCUGUGCUGGCUUGAGAGAGAGGUUGGUGGGCCAUUGCAGACUUGUGAGAACACUGAGCAAGACCAGGGCUGCUUUGCCCUGAGAACCCCCACCCCACCUCUGCCCCCUCCGGUGUCUCUGCCAUGCCUUGUGAGUGGGGCAAGUCCAGUGGAGACUUUGUGUUGGCUCAUCUGGAUGUGUUCCUGACUUGUUUCCCUACUCAUGCGUUCUUAAAUAUGGUGGCCUCAGAGUGACUGCAACAUUUUAUUGCCAGCAUUCUGUUUUUCAGAAGGCUGAUACCCAGUUUGUUUCCUAUCAGCUCUGUAGGUGAAGGCCCAUUUCCCUAAAUACCACUAAUAUAGGAUAUUACGUGCAAAAAAUAUUCCCUCAUUUGAUAGAUGAAAAAAGCUGUCCUGUCUUCACUGGCAGUGUUUUGAUGGGUAGCGGGGCUUAAGAUUGUGUUUCCUGUGUUUUAGAUGGAUAUCAAAGUUAUGUAGAAUUAGGUUAUUAUAAUAGACAUUUGGCAUUGUUUCUGCCUAUGAAUCUCCGCUUGGUGCUGAUAGAGACUCAAAAGCAGAAUUUGGUUUCUAGGUAUUUCGAUGUAUUCUUGUUAUUACUCUUUGAGGACGGGGUCCAGACUUGGUUUAUGACUGCAGUUUUUUUAAUGCUGUUGGGGUGAUGAAGUUAAUUCUUGAAAUUUUUCUCUUCUCUUCUCUGUAUUAUAAGAGGUUAUGUGAAGCGAUUCGUGAGGGUUUUAUGGAAAGACAUGGCAUUGUAAUGAGGACCAUAUUUUAUGAAUCUAAAACUAGGCCUUCUGAUUUUACGAGAAUGAGCCAUCUUUAAGGGGACGGUAGGCUGGGAUAUUUGAAAUGUGAAUUGUCGUGUUCAAUCCAGAAGUUCUUAUCAUCCUAAGAGCCGGUGUGUCCCACACCAUGUUCCUUAGACCAUGAGUUCCUCAGUGUAUUAAUUUGUUUUGUGCAGAAACCAGUCUCUGGUUAAAAUAAGCUGAGAAACACUGGCUUCUACAUGCUGAAUCUCUGUUUUGUUUUGUUUUAAACUUUGGACUUUUUAGUCUUUGGGAUAGUAAUGUGUACUGUUGAUCUCAGAGCGAACUCUGACCAUAUAGAGUUUUCCCCAUGAAACCUUUUUGAUGCGGCUUGGGUAGUGGAGUCAGGGGACCAUGUUUUGUGACAUAGUGAAAACCCCAUUCCAGGAGUAGUUUGGGAGAUGCUUUAUUGGAAUAAUUAUGAAUUUUACAUGGCAUAAACCCACACCCUGUAGGUUAAAAUCCAGAAAUGGUUUUUCAGUUGUGGAGUAAAGGAAUGUUCAUGUAUGUAGAGGAUUUUUUUCCUUUUCUUUUUUCUUUUUCCUUUUUCUUUUGGCCUUAAAUGUCCUCCUUUAAGCUCUUAAGAGAAAAAUAAUGACAUAACUAAAAAAUUGUGUGUGUUUGUGUGUGUGUGCGUGUACAUGUACCUAGUAGAUAACUCUUGCUGCGGAAAUGAAUAUUUACCGCUUUUGAGAAUAGCUUUUUUUUUUUUUCCAGAAUGAAAGCUAGCCAAACCAGUCUCAUUACUGCUUUUUGUUUGAUGUUUCUUAGUCUUAAAUACCACUUAAUAACACUAUUUUAUUGACUGUUUUGUGCAAGGGAGCAAGCUCAAGAAGGACAGAUGCAAGUUAAAUGUCUUGGCUUCAAAAAACUUACACUUUAGUUGAAAAGCAGAAAGAAACACAGUGGGAAAAUGAAGGGGAAAAAAAGGCAAUAUUUGGUAUUUAAUUACCAGUUUAAAACCUGAAGAGUUGAGUUGUGGCAUGGCCAUCCGGUGCCAGGCUAUGGGAAAUCAGAGGAGGAAGAGGUGGAGGCACAGGCACCUGUAAGUCAAGGGGUAUACACAGUUUGGGGGUCAUGAGCCUCUUAGAGAAACCGAAAAAUCUCUGUGUCCCUGCCUGGAUAUGUUUGAAACAAAGGUCCACUUUUGUUUAACCACCCAGAAUUAAUAACUGUUGACAUCUGGUCAUAGUCAUACUCUGUUAACUUGAAGAAAUACAGCAUUCAUGAAGAUGUCUCCUCUAACCAUUCAGUUCAGAUUUAACUCCUUCUCCUGCCCCUGUACACACAUACAGGUGCCUCUCAGGAGGUCCAUCUGUAGCCUCCUUUUGGAGUUACUCUUUUCUUUUAUUUAUUGGUUUUAUGUAUUCUUUUCUGUCAUGCCCAUGACAUGUGGAAGUUCUGGGGCCAAGGCUCAAAUCUGUGCCACCACAGAAACCCUAGCCACAGCAGUGACUGUGCUGGACCUUAACCUGCUGAGCCACCAGGGAACUCCCUGGGGUUGCUAUUUUGCAUACACAAGUGUCCAUAAAGGGUAUAUAGUGCUUUUUGGGGUAAAUUAAUUAUUUCUUAUAUUUGCAUAUGUGGCAUCCUUAUGGACCCAGGCACAAAUACUUGCAAGCGUAUGGCCCCAGGUACUUCCUGGACCCUGGAAGUCCAUUUCUAGAUUCCUGUUUUAGAGGAAGGUGGGACUUGAACCCAGCGAGCAAGUUGGAGAAGGUGUGGGGGAAGUCCAGCCCACAGGUGGGUUCACUGGAGCAGAAGCAGGAGGGAGGGUCUCUGGAGACUGUCAUCCUGCCCAGGGUGGGGAGGACUGUCCCUAUGAGGCCUUGAGAAUCUAGUUCGCAGCCAUCACUGUUUCCCGUACCGUUCAUUUGGCAUUUCACUUGCUCAGAGUUCCUUACUGUUCAGACAUAUAUGUCCUGUUUCUUCCCCUGGACUGUAAACUCCUUCCAAAUCAGACUCUGAUGCUUCAUCUCUUUGCCUUUCCUUUGGGUGUUUUAACUAAGAAAUGCUUGGUGGGUUUGUAUUUUUUGUUUUUCAGUAAAUACUGUGUAAUUGAAACUUUCAUUCUGAUGUUAGGUCUUUGAAUAAUUUUCAGAAAUUAAACCUGAGGCUUUUGAAGAUAAAUUGUGGCAAUUUAAGCCAGCUAGGAAGCUUUAACGUGGGUCGGGCUAUCCUACGGCAGGGAUCUUGGUCUGUUGAUGGCCAAGUUUCCCUCCUGUCAUCGAAGGAUGGCAGAUUGUGCAGCUAAGUGCAGACACACUUUUGCUCACCUGCAGACCCGAGCCCUUCAAAGCCCUCCAACCAACCAGUCAGGGAAGAGGAGACUCACUGAGGGGCUUGCAAGCCGCCUUUUGGAGUCAGGGUGAAGCAGGCCAGCAUGAAUCUGGGGUGUACUGCCGGCUGGGGAGAGCUUCUCUCACCAGGGAGGAAAAUAACACCCCUGUGAACCACUUUUAUUUUCUGUUUGUACAGCAUGCGUGUCCUUAAUGUGUGUUUUUAUUUGGAUGUGCAGGCCCUUCUCCCUGCACACCAGGAGCUUAUUCCAAGUCGGCCUGCACUCCCUCUGAUGUGUGAUGUCAGAUGCUGGAUGUGUCGGGCAGCCUGAACGCUGUUAUCUCUCGUGGUUGACCCCAGAAAGUCGUUUCUCUGAUUGACUGUGUGCGUGUGCAACAGUAACAAACAUGAGAGGUUGCUCUGUGCUGAUGGACGUAUAUAGAGUGUAUAUUUCGAGAAAAAGGAGUGUAUCAAAAAUCUGGCACCGACUAUUUGGUUUAUUGCUCUGAAAACAAUGUCUACCGUGAUGGGGCUAGUCAAGGGUGACUUUCUCCAUUAUCUUCAGGGUCCUCGAAUAUGCACAGCUUAUGGCUUGACUUUGCCCAUUGGAUGGGUGAAUUCUUACACUGCCUCUAUCGUGCCCUGUAUUCAUCACAGGGUGGAGGAUUAAGGCUGGAGCAUGUCAGUCAUGCCACCAAUUUUUUUUCCUAACACCUAAGGAUCAAAAAUACCAGUGCAGGUGUAAGAUGAUCAGGGCAUUCUGACCAUUAGAAUCAUUCAAACCUAUGGUUAUUUUAUCCAUCUCAAAACUCAGACUCUAGUUCAUCCUUGGAAACAGUGCAAAGAAUAGCUCCUCAGCCAAAUCAUGUUUUCAACAACGGAGAUUUUUUUUUUUACAUGUUCACAUUUCCUGUCAGAGUUGAGUGUUGAAUUGCUUUGAAGGCUAGACUUAGGAGCUCCACACUUCAGCCUGCAAAUGCAUGUAAAUGCUGAGAUUUCUGGAGAUUGGGGGUGGGGAUUGGGGAAGGGGCUGGUGCAUGAGGAAGGGGGCGAGGCUGUGACGAGUGCCUCUGCAUUGCAGGCACCCACGGUGCCAGGCACAGACCUUUCGACACCAGAGCUAUGAUGCCAGAGCCAGAUCAGGCCCUUCCCUGUUAGGUGGAGCGUCAGCCCAGGGGGACCCGGUGGAAUAGGAGCAGAUUAUUAGACAGGGAGGGACAGGAAAAGGAAGCUUCCAAAGGGAGAGAAGAAUGAGGGUCAUUGGGCCAGGGCCCGGGAGGGGUGCGCCGAUUGUACUCUGAAUGCAGGGAGGGGUGCAAGGUCAAAGCCUGGCUGGGGUGGCAAGGCACAGAUGAUGGGGAAGGGGAAAAUGCUUCUAUGCUCUGGGCUGAGCUUGGGAGGAGACGGAAAAAUCAAGUAGACAGAUGCAGGAAAGCUGCGAGGGCAAAUGCAGGGCUGGGCGGCUGCUGCCAGUGGGUGGGCCGUGCACACUGAGCUCCUGGGGGCUGGUGCAUGUCACUGCUCCUUGGGGUCUUGUUCCUUGGGGACGGGGAUACAAGUGCCACCCCUUGAAAUAAAUAAGGAAAAGAAAAGAAGUGCCAGCCUUUCUGAGGUGUCCCUCAGACAUGUGCGUUGGUCCUCAAGAAAUACUUGCUGCCAAUAGGUUUUCUAAGACUCUCAGCCCUAGGGCACCCCGUGACUCUGCUGAAGGUUCUCUCAGCUUCUCAAGGGGCUGGGGGUGGGGCGCUGCUCCCCACAUGCCAAAAAUGGAGCAGGAAUUGCCAGAUGAUGGGGUUCAAAUCUUUACCAAAGCCUUGAUGACUUUGAUUUUCCAGAUCAUGUGCACAGUGAAGUCAGAAUAAACACAUGGGAAGAAGUCUGGGGGUUUGGGUUCUGAAUUUGUCCCAAGCUCAUAGGAUGGCUUCGUGGAGAAGUCAGCCUCCAUUCCUCAUGGAGUGGGGUUGUGACUUAGGAAAUGAGGACUGCGAAGUAAGAGCUGUUGAGUUACUGUUAACUUUUGCAUGUGCCUUUGGCAAAUGUUGAACUGGCCACCCAAACUGGAGAAUAGGGCCAUCUCGGACCAGAUGGACCAGGUUCGAAGCCCUAGUUGACCGCUUCCUAGCUUGGUCACUCUGGCAACUUAACCUUGUUUCUCCAAACCUCAGUUUUUCCAUCUGUAAAAUGGGAAAGAGUUGUUGCAAGGAUGGAGUGCGUCAAGCUCUUAGGUCAGCCCCGUGCCUAGAGGGGUGUGGGCACUGAAUCGUGUCAGCUUCAAUUAGCAAGCUCUUCUCUACUGGCGUGAAACCUGUCACCAAGAAUAUUAACCACACAGGUACUUCCUGGGCAACAUAUCUGAGCUCGUUGUUUCUUAUUCUUCAUGGCCUUUCUUUUUUUGAAACCUUCCUUGAUUUCCUCCUCACCAACCUGAGAGAUGACUCUGAGCUCUUUUGCUCCCACCGGAGCUUUCUUAGGCUACAGGUUUCUUCCUGCCCGUGUUUUCUUUAUACAGCUUCUUUGCGUGGCUGUCUCUCUCCCUAGAUAACCUGAGCUACUUGCGGCUGAGGGAUGUGACCACUGGGUCCCCCACUUAUGGCACUCAUCUCCCUGCAUGCUUCUGAAUGAUUGCUUGAAAUGAGAUGAAAGUGUUGGGGGAGGUGUUUCAUGUACAUAGGAGGGGCCCCCUGGCACAGGUCCACUCUUCUCUGGUGGUUGUGGCUGCUUUGUGGCUUCAAAGGUGGCUGGGCCAGUGACCUAUAAGGCAUUGCCCCGCGGACAUUCUCACCCCAGAGACAUGUGGCUACCUCCCCCGCAGCCCAGGGAGCCUGGGUGACAGACAGACACCAUAAGGCUGAGUUCUGAGCCUCCCUUCCAAAGUGGCAGAAUGCAGUGCUUUCUCUCUAUUUCCUUGGAAUCUGAGCAGGUAGGUUCAUCUUUUAGACAUAAGCCUGAGCGAGUGCUUCAAGGAUAGAAUACCCUGAGAUUGGAAAUUAAAAAUUUAAUGUUGUUUUAAAUAGAAGUGGAUUAAAUAAGGAACCAAAUAAUUUCCAGGGUAAAUGGCAAAGGAUAGAUUCUGCUGUAAGUGAAGUACUCUGCUGAUAACUACUCCUAUUUUGUUUUUUGUUUUUUUUCCUCCUUUUUUCCCUUGAACUUGGGAUCCCUGUAUAUCACAGACAAGCAUCAAAGCCCAAGAUUCAAAUCUGUUACUGAAUCCAUUCCAGGAAAGCGGGGAAAAGCUACCAAUUUGUCAUCUGUUAUAAAAUUUUAUAACCUUUCUCUCUCUCUCUUUUCUUUUUUUUCUUUUUUUUUUUUUGAUAUUUUUGUACUAUUAUUCACUCGGCUUGUGGUACUGUGCCAGAUUUGCGCCUGCUCAUUUUACUAUGUGUGCAUGGCUGUGGUCUUUAUUUUCUAAGUAAGGACUCCCAGGUUGAGUUAGCCAUGCCGAAAUCCGCUCACGCUGCAGUGUCCUCAGCUCAGGCUCUCCGUGGUUUGAGGCUGGCUAUUUUUGGGUCUGGUCAGGAGGGAGCCAGUUAAAAACCUGAAUUGCCUCAUUCCCAGGGUGGUCUUUCUCCGUUGAGAUUGUGGUCAGCGUAGCAGGAGGGCAAUUUGAGCAAACCUCUCAUGUCACUUCCUGUGUGAGUUUGGAUGGAGAAGAAAGAGGAAUCUUCAUUUUUCCAAGUUGUCAGUUUUUAUAGCUUCUCAGUAGAGCAGAAGUAACUUGGAAAGAUUUUGAAUUUUGUUUUUCCCUGGAUAUGCAAAUAUGUAUUGAGGAAUGCUGGUAAUGGGCUUGCCUUGGGGUUGUGAAAUGAGAAAUAAACUACACAUCACUUUGUACUUUGUUUCAUAAAGUCAGAGAAAAGGCCAGCAGCCAGGUGGGUCAGAAAGGGCGCCACAGAGCCAUCCAUGUAGCUGUCUUGAGACCAGGACAAUUCUUGAAGACAACGACUUCCAUGGAAAGUCUUAUUUUGAGGGUUUCACCAAAUUUCAGCUCAAUAUUUAGUUAACACAGACGAAUCAUUAUGGAACAUGUUAAUUCUGUUUUUCCAUUUUUAUACAAUCAGUCGAACGUUUCCUUUUGAAAUACAAUACUCUUUCAGGUUUUGCUCCGAAGCAUUUUUCUAACUUUCUAUUUCUGUUUCAAUAUUUUCUGCCGCCCAGACAUCAACAGAUGGACAGGGACAUUUUCAGUACCCCCCUCCUCCCACCCCCACCCCCCAAGUUCUCACGAGCCACACACACAAGUGCUGAGUUCCGCCUGGCUGCCUGCCUUGGCACAGGUCUUUGAUUCCUGAAAUGCUCAGAGCAGACCAAAAAAAAAAAAAAAAAA